UGUGUGUCUGGUUCGAUCAAAACACAGGGGGCGACCAAGCAUCCUCCAUCAAACCCUAACUCAUACAAAUUUCACAACAAAUUGAAGGCUCAAAUCAGUUCCAAAACGAAAUCCGAGCAUAGAUUGGUGAUCUCCUUAGUAAAGGGAUCAUAAGGAAAGGAAACCGGAAUGUCGAGCGGACAAGCCGGUGGUGACGCGCGUUUGAAGGGAGCGCUUUAAAGGUGACGUUGGUCUCAUUCCGGAGGGCGAUCAAGCAAGAAUCCAAGAACCAAACACUAUAUUUUGAAGCUUCCGCUCUAAUCUAACCUUGUUUUAGACAAUGUUUGUUUUGUAAACACUAAACCAAAUGUUGAAUGUUUUAAACUAGUUGGAUAGUUAACUAAAUUUCUAUUAUCGUGUAAGUUUGUUAACGUAACUAAGUUUUGUGCAAGUAAUGCAUUUAUUUUAAAAAAAA